rnacentral:rRNA from 1 species
UACGUAGGUGGCAAGCGUUGUCCGGAUUUACUGGGCGUAAAGCGUCCGCAGGUGGUCGUGCAAGUGCCGUGUGAAAGCGCUCGGCUUAACUGAGCGAGGCCAUGGCAGACCGCUCGACUCGAGACCGGGAGAGGUCGGUGGAAUUGCUGGUGUAGUGGUGAAAUGCGUAGAGAUCGGCAGGAACACCCAAGGGGAAGCCAGCUGACUGGGCCGGGACUGACACUCAGGGACGACAGCGUGGGGAGCGAACCGG